UACGUAGGUGGCAAGCGUUGUCCGGAUUUACUGGGCGUAAAGAGCGCGCAGGCGGUCGUUCAAGUCGCGUUGUGAAAGCCCCCGGCUCAACUGGGGAGGGUCACGCGAUACUGAUCGACUCGAAGGCAGGAGAGGGUAGUGGAAUUCCCGGUGUAGUGGUGAAAUGCGUAGAGUAUCGGGAGGAACACCAGUGGCGAAGGCGGCUUUCUGGCCCGUUCUUGACGCUGAGGCGCGAAAGCUAGGGUAGCAAACGGG
rnacentral:rRNA from 1 species